rnacentral:lncRNA from 1 species
UUGUUUUUAAAUUCGUCCAAAACCAAUCCCCCUUUGUUUUAAAGUGUCAAAUUAGUUAGUAAGUGUUUUAGUUUGUGUUUUUAAGUGUCUUAGGUCAAGUUAAAACCAAUUUUCGUCCAAUUUUGUGUCUAGUGUUCAAAACUGCCCAGAUUGUGUUUUUAAGGCAGUUUUGAGUGUUUUGGGGCAGUUUUGAGUCUUUUGGUUUGUUUUGGUGUUUUAGAGUUUAGUUUUGCAUUCUUUGAGUCUAGUUUAGUAUUUUAAACUUGUUUUUACGUAUUUGAGUCAAUUCCAAGUGAUUUUGCAAACCCUCCUAAUCCCCGGUCUAGAACGAUCCCUACUUACAUACAUUGCUACAAUUGAUAAAAAGAGGGUUUAAUUUGAGUGCUAGUUAAAUAUCACAUCAGUAGGAGGAGGCUAUCAUCCACCACAUUCAAAGGCUUAUUCGUUUUCUGCUGCUCAGGUACGCUUAAAAUAAAGGAAGAUAUUUGAAACGACCCAUGAAGCAUGAAAACAUUCCCCAUGAUGCAUGAACCCCAUAUGUUUAUAUUUUCCUUCCGAUAUAUAUAUUGUAUAUGUUCAUAUAUUUGUCACUAUAUAUAUUUGUUUCAUGCAUCG